AUCUUUUCAAUCUGGAUGAACAGAUCAGCUGCCUUGGACACCAUGCUGUUCUGGCCAAACCAGGGUUUCUGUGACAUCAUGCCCCAUUCUCAUACUGUCAGCAAAAUUCCCUGAGGACAACAGCUGCCACUGCCUACGUACAAGUGUUUCUGCUCACUCCAUUCAGGAAUGCAUGCCAGUCCUCCUUUCCCUGAGGCUGCUUAUCUCCUUUCUGCUCACUCAAGAUGCUAGGUUCAGUGAGGAUGAGGAUGCUGGAAGAACAUGUUUUCAUGACAGUCAGAGGACCACAUGUGAGGUGGCCCAAAACUAGCCAUCCAUCUCCAGAGCUGCACUAGGAUCCACAGAUGGGUUUUAGGGAGGACAAAGAGGACAUACCAGAGCCAGAGGAGAUACUGGACACUUACUUGCAGGGUUCUUGUGCACUAAGGAGAGCAAGAGGCUAGGAUCUUAUGUCCCACAGAGUUUAGUAAUUAAUAGUUUCUGCAAUGAGACUUCCUGGAUUCAAACCUGCCUCUGCCCUUGUGACCGUGAACCAGUUCCUGUGCCUCAGUUUCUUUUUGUGUAAAAUGAGGAAAAUAACAGUACAUUGGAGAAAUUUUAGAAACAAGUUAAUGAUUUGCUUCAAGAUAGCAGUAAGCACUGCCCCUGCCACAUGGUAAAUUUUCACUAAAUGUGACACAAAAAUUACUUAUUUUGUAGAAGGGAAACAAUAAGAGGUAAAAGGUGAACAGUAGGAGUUUUUCACUUUCUGAAAUCUAUGUCUCUUCCUGUUGGCAGGGCAGGGAGUAAGCCUCAGGAAGAGGAAUGGGCAUUUUUCCAGGGGGAGGGGGUGAGAAUGAGUUAAUACUUUUGUGAAUCAGGAGACAUGAGGUCAUAUGGAAGAGCUUGAUGUAGCUUCACACUGAGAGCGCAGCAUUGUACAACCAGUAUGGAAGGUUAUGGAUGGGGGUUAAUAAAAAGUAAGACUAGAUCCCUUGGAACCUUGGGCUGGGGAUGCCAG
rnacentral:lncRNA from 1 species